rnacentral:piRNA from 1 species
UUUUCUUUGCGAUUGAGGGGG